rnacentral:lncRNA from 1 species
CCAGAGCAGGCUAUUAUUGUCAGCUCUCUAGAUGCUGUGAUGCUAAACCCAGAUGAAGAGUCACCAGGUGGGGGGCAAGGCUUUACUUGGUUCUCCAGUGGAGAAGUUUGGUACAUUUGGACUCUGGACAGCUUCACACAGACGGUUGCUGCUUUCUUUGCCACUGCAUUUUAAAAAGCAGGGUUUCACUGAAUUUGGAGCUCACCAGCUGGCUAUGCUGUCUGGCCAAUG